rnacentral:snoRNA from 1 species
CCUACUCCUAGAGGCAUUACAGGUGUGACUGCUGUGUCACAUGUGUGUCAGUAGGUCACAGAGAGGAGAGGGGCUGUGUCUGUACUCACUGUUCUGACCUGUGAAUAUCUGAAGAACCAGUAGCCUAAACUUU